CAAUGAGUUUUUCGCAGCCUUGUACAGUCAACACAUCAUAACGUUCAAUUAGUCAAUAAUCUUGAGCUGAUUCUUUCUUCUUGCAAAGUUUGAUUCGCUUUACAUCUUCAAUUAUCGAAUCAUACUUUCGUUUUUUCAUUAAAACACUAUUAUAUUUCGAAUCUUCGCUAAAGAGCUUUGCCAAGAAUCUUUUCUUCAUUUUACUCAACAAUUAUGUGCUAGGAGUUAAAUUUAUCUGUUUUCAAACUGGCAGCUAGGAGUUAAAACUGGCAGCCAAUGCAAAUUAUGAGGAAAGCAAAUUAUGAGGCAGGCAAAUUAUGUGACUGAGAAAAGGUUUUGAAAAUGAAACAGUAAUGCUGGAUUUUCCUGCAUUAAAUGCAGACUUUUUUUCACACUUUCUUGUUAGUGUGCAGUCACUCUAUAAGAAGCUGUGUCUCUGUGAGCAAUUAUGAGCGGUGAAACGAGAGAUAUGUAUUGGUCUCUGUUUCAAAUUGCCAUAGCAACUAGUGCACACAUGGAAACCCGC